UAGUCCACGCCGUAAACGAUGGUCACUAGCUGUUCGGAUUUAGGUCUGAGUGGUUAAGCGAAAGUGAUAAGUGACCCACCUGGGGAGUACGUUCGCAAGAAUGAAACUCAAAGGAAUUGACGGGGGCCCGCACAAGCGGUGGAGCAUGUGGUUUAAUUCGAUGAUACGCGAGGAACCUUACCAGGGCUUAAAUGUGGUCUGACAGCUUUAGAGAUAGAGUUUUCUUCGGACAGAUCACAAGGUGCUGCAUGGUUGUCGUCAGCUCGUGCCGUGAGGUGUCAGGUUAAGUCCUAUAACGAGCGCAACCCCUUCCGUUAGUUGCUAGCAGGUCAAGCUGAGGACUCUAACGGGACUGCCGGUGCAAACCGCGAGGAAGAUGGGGAUGACGUCAAAUCAUCACGGCCCUUACGUCCUGGGCUACACACGUGCUACAAUGGCCGGUACAGAGGGCAGCUACCAUGCGAAUGGAUGCGAAUCUUAAAAACCGGUCACAGUUCGGAUCGG
rnacentral:rRNA from 1 species